rnacentral:miRNA from 1 species
CACCUGGGAUCUUGUUAAAGUGCAAGUUCUGAUUCAGUUUGUCUCGGGGACUUGGGAUUCUGCAUUUCUAACAAGUUCCCAGCUGAUGCCAAU